rnacentral:misc_RNA from 1 species
AGAAAGAAAGAAAGAAAGAAAGAAAGAAACCUUUUUUUAUGUUUGGAUAGACAGAAAAAGUUGUUAACCGCUCGCCUGCAGGCCACAACUGUAACACGUUUCUGUUUCUUCAUCCAAUGGCUGAUAAUGGACCCCGCCACCCCUCGCCGCCGGUUUCUUCUUCUUCUCCUCCGUCAUCGUCUAAAUUCUCUUCCACUUCUUCUGCCCGCCCAACUACCAUCUCUCUCCCGCCUCGCUCAUUCAACGAUACGCUCUUCACCUCUGGCCUCGGUAUGGGCUUCAGCCCUGGCCCUAUGACUCUUGUCUCUAGUUUCUUCUCCGAUUCCGAUGACUUCAAAUCUUUCUCCCAGCUCCUCGCCGGUGCCAUGGUCUCUCCCGCUGCCAAUACCAACAACAACAACAAACUUCUCGUUCCUCCUCCUCAGGAGAAUAAAAACUCUCUUGCUGACGUCAGCAAGCAGGCCAAUUUGUCCAUCGUUCCGUCGUCGCCGAUGUUCACUGUACCUCCGGGGCUGAGUCCGAUGGCUCUUCUGGAUUCACCGGGGUUCGGGUUCUUAUCUCCCCAGGGACCCUUGGGAAUGACACACCAGCAGGCGCUAGCUCAGGUUACUGCUCAGGCUGUGCAAGCCCAUUCCAGUAUGCAUAUUCAAGCACAGCAUUCAUCUUCUUUGCCAUCAGCACAGGCAACUUCUUCAACGCAGUUUUCAUCUGUUACAACUAAUUCAACUACACACCAGCAGAUGUUACGCUCAAUCCCAGGCCCUAGUGCUUCCAUUAAGGAAUCUUCAGACUUCUCUCGUUCUGAUCAAAGAUUUCAAGCUUCUUCCCUUGUUGUUGAUAAACCUACCGAUGAUGGCUACAAUUGGCGAAAAUAUGGACAGAAACAGGUGAAAGGGAGUGAAUUUCCUCGAAGUUAUUAUAAAUGCACACAUCCCAAAUGUCCUGUCAAGAAAAAGGUUGAGCGAUC